UACGAAGGGGGCGAGCGUUGUUCGGAUUUACUGGGCGUAAAGGGCGCGCAGGCGGCUUUGUUUGUCAGGCGUGAAAGCCCCGGGCUUAACCUGGGAACUGCGUUUGAUACGGCAGGGCUAGAGUUCGGGAGAGGAGAGUGGAAUUCCCAGUGUAGAGGUGAAAUUCGUAGAUAUUGGGAAGAACACCGGUGGCGAAGGCGGCUCUCUGGACCGUAACUGACGCUGAGGCGCGAAAGCGUGGGAGCAAACAGG
rnacentral:rRNA from 1 species